rnacentral:rRNA from 1 species
GUGCCAGCAGCCGCGGUAAUACGUAGGGUGCAAGCGUUAAUCGGAAUUACUGGGCGUAAAGCGUGCGCAGGCGGCUUUGCAAGACAGAUGUGAAAUCCCCGGGCUCAACCUGGGAACUGCAUUUGUGACUGCAUGGCUAGAGUGCGGCAGAGGGGGAUGGAAUUCCGCGUGUAGCAGUGAAAUGCGUAGAUAUGCGGAGGAACACCGAUGGCGAAGGCAAUCCCCUGGGCCUGCACUGACGCUCAUGCACGAAAGCGUGGGGAGCAAACAGGAUUAGAUACCCUGGUAGUCCACGCCCUAAACGAUGUCAACUGGUUGUUGGACGGCUUGCUGUUCAGUAACGAAGCUAACGCGUGAAGUUGACCGCCUGGGGAGUACGGCCGCAAGGUUGAAACUUAAAGAAAUUGGCGG